GGGGUUGUAGCUCAGUUGGGAGAGCGCAUGACUGGCAGUCAUGAGGUCAGGGGUUCGAUCCCCCUCAGCUCCA
rnacentral:tRNA from 1 species